ACUUGAGUAGUUUAUUUAGAAUAGUAAUUUGUGGUGUUAUUGGAGUUUAUAAUGACCUCAGGUU
rnacentral:tRNA from 1 species